ensembl:processed_transcript uncharacterized LOC115062509
GUUUCCACUUCGCUGCUCUCCACCGGUCUCGGCGUGGUCUGUGGAUUCCGGAGAGCAAGGCAUGCGUCGGCUUCGUGCCGCAGGUAUCCUGGGGUCCUAUGGGGAGCGCUCUGCGGUGUGGGGCCGGGUAUGAUGACCCACAUUUACAGACUAGAGUUUCUGAUGUCCACGUGACGCCACCCCUUGUAACUGACCCAGCCCGGGGUCGGGGCUGCAGGCCGGGGACGCUCGGACCCGUGCUCACUCAGUGAUCUCUUCCAGGUUCCUGGCCCACGCCAGCCGGACCCAGUAGCAUAAUGGUAAGCGCAUGCUGGCGAGGGAUGGGCGGUGUGAGCAGGGGCUGACUGCGGGGAGAGGACAGUAAUGAUGAUUUCUGGUGAUUCUGAGUGUCUCGCUGACGCCGUCACCGCAGCGCGCUGACCGUCCCCGGGUCCGAGAUCGGCAGUGGCUUGGGUUUUGAGUUUCGUGGCCUGGAGUUCUUAGUAAUGUACUUCUGUGUCUUGCUUUCUGUUAGGGGUUUGAGAACAUACGCUGGCUGCCUACGCUUGAAGAAAGGGUGAUCUCUAGAGACUGCGCAGGGGCCCCGUCCCCUCACCUAGAUGUCGGCUAACCUUGGGAUCCAGACAAAGGUGGAAUCCUAGAAGUGACCUGGAUGGCCUAAUGAUCUCACGUCUGAGAGCCAGCCCUGAAAAGGGCUUUGCUCCUACUCACACUGGCAAGUUGGAUGCCUUUUUACUGCAUUGCUGUCAGCUAUCUGAACAUGAGUGGCUGUAGGGUGUAAGCUAUGCAUGCUGGCUGCCCUACGCCCGCCCAGACUGAACCAGGACCUCACUUGAACAUGAGUAUUAGACAAUGUAAAAACUUACCUUGCCCAGACUUGAUAUAACAGCUUGGAAAUGCAUAGUUUCGUGAAAGAGCCUAAUAAAAUACUUUUUAAAGU